GCUUCUUCAAGAACACCUCCCUAUGGUCCCUAUCACAAGGUCCAUAAACAGUGGAGACACAGAUAUUCAAACUUAGCGGUUGAAUGAACAAUUCCACAGACAAUGUGUAAGUCAUUUUGAAUGUUCUCUUCAAGACAAACUUCCUUGAAUUCCACCCAAUCAACAAGCCACCUGCUGAACCAUCUGCAUCCAAGCAACACUAAUCAUCGAUGUUAGGUCCCCC
rnacentral:lncRNA from 1 species